GGCCCACAGGGGAAAGAAAACGGUGAAUUUGGGCCUGGCGGCACAGACUCCUGAUCAGAGAAAGGGCUGCAGAUGGAAAACUAAACAAAAGAACGCACAGAGACCACUAAAUUUUAAAGGAAAACUUUUCCGGGGGACAGAUUCGAAGAUUUUGUGAAAACAAGAUGUCCUGGCAAGUCAGAGUUCCGUUUGGGUCCAUAUCCCUUCCCUCCCCAGUCUUGGUUUCUCAUGAGCAAGUGGAAAUAUAUGGCCCGUGACAU
rnacentral:lncRNA from 12 species